rnacentral:rRNA from 1 species
AUGGAGGUCUCCUUCUGGCUCGUCGACCCGCCGGGCGCCUCCUACUUCUCCUUCAACUGCCCCGGCCUCCACGCAUCCGCCUUCGACGACUACGCGCCGCCCUCCCUCGUUUGCUCCGGGGCCGCCUUCGUCCUCUUCAGCCUCACAAUCAGGGGCGCCGUCCACCACUUCGUCUACACAGCCGCCCCCGCAGGGAAACAAUCGCUUGAAGCGCUCACCGACCCUCCGGUCUGCAGAAGACGGCGGUUCGGUCUCCUGCCCCGCGGCGACGGUGAGCACUACGCCGUGGCCUACGUCGACCGCCAGUGGAUCUCCCAAGACGACGACUGGCGGUUUGACGCGCACGUCUACUCGUCUGAAACGCAGGAGUGGAGCAGCCACAGGUUGUCGCUGCUGCACUUAUCCAAGUCUGACAAGCUGCUCUGUUGUAAGCAUACCUUGUACUACAGGCAUAUCGCCGUUGCAGGCUCACUGGGCUGGGUUGAUCUGCUACGUGGUGUCCUCCUCCUUCGCAACCUGUUCGACGGUGGUGAUCCUGUCAUCGAAUUCAUCCCGUUCCCUGAAUCAAGGGUUAACUUUCUCGACGAGGAUGGCCGCCCUCACCGCGCCUGCGAGUAUUAUUGCAACGUCGCCUGCUGUGAUGAUCUCCUCAAGUUCAUCGAGAUAGAAUUUGACGACCCUCUUGUCAGGACCAGCCGUAAAGGUUGGAGAGCCAAUGUGUGGAACAGGAAGAUCUCAUGGAACAAGUGGGAGAUCCGCUCCACGGUCGAUGUUGCUAGCAUAUCCGUUGACCAAAGCUAUUCUGCUUUAUUGCCUGAGCUGCGACAGGGUGAUUUUCAGAAACUUGACUUGCAGAAACUGAUUUUCUACGCCCCGGUGCUGAGCACCCGCAAUGACGAUCUCAUUUACAUGAUGGCCAAGGUGAAUGCUCAAGAUGAGACUGCCUGGGCCAUUGCAGUUGACAUGGAAAGGGCAGCUGUCGAAGCAAUGGCCCCGUUUUCUCUCGGACGACACCACUACCACAUUGCAAAGAGCAGGCAUGCAUAA